UACGGGGGGGGCAAGCGUUGUUCGGAAUUACUGGGCGUAAAGGGCUCGUAGGUGGCCAACUAAGUCAGACGUGAAAUCCCUCGGCUUAACCGGGGAACUGCGUCUGAUACUGGAUGGCUUGAGUUCGGGAGAGGGAUGCGGAAUUCCAGGUGUAGCGGUGAAAUGCGUAGAUAUCUGAGGAACACCGGUGGCGAAGGCGGCAAGUCCGUGGACCGGUAGUUCGACGCUGAGGCGCGGAAAGCCCAGGGGGAAGGCCAAAGCGGGGGAUUAAGAAUGA
rnacentral:rRNA from 1 species